ensembl:snRNA U6 U6 spliceosomal RNA
UUCGGCAGCACAUAUACAAAAAAAUAAAAAAAUUGGAACGAUACAGAGAAGAUUAGCAUGGCCCCUGUGCAAGGAUGACACGCAAAUAUGUGAAGCGUUCCAUAUGAAA